rnacentral:tRNA from 1 species
AGAAAGAAAAAAAAAUUAAAACAGGGCUGCUAACUUUGUUUUGGGUACUUAAAAUUGUACCCUCUUUCUU